rnacentral:tRNA from 1 species
GAGGGGGUGGCGGAACGGUAUACGCACAACGCCAAGGACGUUGCGGUUUAAAAGACCAUAGGGGUUCAAAUCCCUUCCUCCUCG